rnacentral:misc_RNA from 1 species
AGGUGAACCUGCGGAAGGAUCAUUAGAAAAGUAUGCGCCCACACGGGCAACCUGCGGGCAAGUUGGUAAAACGAGAGGAGGUGUUCGUUUUUUUUUUUUACCCCCAAUGCACUUAUUGAAAAGACCCAAGUCGAAAAAAGAAAAUGGUGAUGGAAUAUUGGUCAAGGCCUUUGUUCAGCAUGCCGAUAUGUGGGUGUUGCAGGAUAAAAACUUCUGCUUACCUGGAAUCAAAUUUUUGGUGGAUAAUCUUUUGGUUGUUCCCUUAAUUAUGGGCUGUGCAAAAAGAGCUUUUUUUUUUGCUGGCCUUAAAUUUAAAAUUCUUUUUCGACGCCGUAAUAACCUUUGCCUAAAUGUUUGUCUGAUCUUUUACUUAUAACGAGUAAAAAAAUUAAUACAACUUUCAACAACGGAUCUCUUGGCUCUCG